GUAGACAUAGUUUAUCAAAACACUAGACUGUGGCUCUAGAGAUAGAACUUCAACCUUCUUGCCUACC
rnacentral:tRNA from 1 species